rnacentral:rRNA from 1 species
GAUGAACGCUGGCGGCGUGCCUAAUACAUGCAAGUCGAGCGAACAGACGAGGAGCUUGCUCCUCUGACGUUAGCGGCGGACGGGUGAGUAACACGUGGAUAACCUACCUAUAAGACUGGGAUAACUUCGGGAAACCGGAGCUAAUACCGGAUAAUAUAUUGAACCGCAUGGUUCAAUAGUGAAAGACGGUUUUGCUGUCACUUAUAGAUGGAUCCGCGCCGCAUUAGCUAGUUGGUAAGGUAACGGCUUACCAAGGCAACGAUGCGUAGCCGACCUGAGAGGGUGAUCGGCCACACUGGAACUGAGACACGGUCCAGACUCCUACGGGAGGCAGCAGUAGGGAAUCUUCCGCAAUGGGCGAAAGCCUGACGGAGCAGCGCCGCGUGAGUGAUGAAGGUCUGCGGAUCGUAAAACUCUGUUAUUAGGGAAGAACAAAUGUGUAAGUAACUAUGCACGUCUUGACGGUACCUAAUCAGAAAGCCACGGCUAACUACGU